rnacentral:rRNA from 1 species
GACGAACGCUGGCGGCGUGCUUAACACAUGCAAGUCGAACGGAAAGGCCCUGCUUUUGUGGGGUGCUCGAGUGGCGAACGGGUGAGUAACACGUGAGUAACCUGCCCUUGACUUUGGGAUAACUUCAGGAAACUGGGGCUAAUACCGGAUAGGAGCUCCUGCUGCAUGGUGGGGGUUGGAAAGUUUCGGCGGUUGGGGAUGGACUCGCGGCUUAUCAGCUUGUUGGUGGGGUAGUGGCUUACCAAGGCUUUGACGGGUAGCCGGCCUGAGAGGGUGACCGGCCACAUUGGGACUGAGAUACGGCCCAGACUCCUACGGGAGGCAGCAGUGGGGAAUAUUGCACAAUGGGCGGAAGCCUGAUGCAGCAACGCCGCGUGCGGGAGGACGGCCUUCGGGUUGUAAACCGCUUUCGCCUGUGACGAAGCGUGAGUGACGGGAAUGGGUAAAGAAGCACCGGCGAACUACGU